rnacentral:misc_RNA from 1 species
GAUGAAGAACGCAGCGAAAUGCGAUACGUAAUGUGAAUUGCAGAAUUCAGUGAAUCAUCGAGUCUUUGAACGCACAUUGCGCCCCCUGGUAUUCCGGGGGGCAUGCCUGUCCGAGCGUCAUUGCUGCCCUCAAGCACGGCUUGAGUGUUGGGCCUCCGUCCUCCUCCCGGGGGACGGGCCCGAAAGGCAGCGGCGGCACCGCGUCCGGUCCUCGAGCGUAUGGGGCUUCGUCACCCGCUCUUGUAGGCCCGGCCGGCGCUUGCCGACACAUCAAUCUUUUUUCCAGGUUGACCUCGGAUCAGGUAGGGAUACCCGCUGAACUUAAGCAUAUCAAUAAGCGGAGGA